rnacentral:lncRNA from 1 species
CGGGGUCCCAGGCUGUGGCAGGACAAGCCGGGCACUGACCCCUCGGGGAGGCCAGGAGAGGCCUGGCAAGAAGCAGGAGACCUUAAUAUGCACAAAAACCAUGAAUUAUCUGCGUGGAUUAGAAAGGAAAACGCAGAACAGACUGACAAAGUAAACAGCAAAAGGGGGUCAACACAACCUAAGAAACAGGCACUCGGAUGUUCACAGGAAGACGCAGCGGCCCCUGGUCUCCACAGGACUCUAGGAAUCACGACUUGGGUGUUACUCAUCCUCAGGCCCUGUUGGGACAGCCUGGGGCUGGUCUCCCUCGUCUCAGGUCCCAGCGUCCCGACUCCGUCCACACCAUCCCACCACGCCAUGUGGGCUCCAGCGGUCAGCCGUCCACCCUCUGACCGGCCGGCCGCCCAGCUGCGGUGGGAAGGGAUGGCCUUGCCCUCGGCUUCUCUCCUGCCGUCUGCUCAGAGAUGGCCUUCGGAAACGAGACUGCUGUGCCGUGUUGUCCUUGCCCCCGGCCCCAGCCUCCCUCUGCGGGUGCGGUGGGUGCUGAGGCUGCCAGAGUCCAUCUGCCGGCCUGGCGAUCUCUGGCUGCAGGCCGCCCACACCAGGGGGAGGACCACUGCCCAUGGCGGUCACAGCCCAAGUCCCCGCUCUCUGCCCCGGCCAAGACACCUCUGCAGCCUUUCUCCUGCCCUCCUUGUUCACAGUUGUCCUGCGAAAAGGUGACCCCCUUCUCAGUGCACACCUGCCCAGAGGCCUGGUCCCCCACCCCCAUUCCUGCAGAGUGGGGACAGCUGUCCCAGGAGCUAUGAGGCUAAGUCCGGCCCCGCUGCUCACCCAGCCAAGGAGGAACCUCCCCAGACACAGCCGGAAACAGUGCUCGCGGCCCUGCCAGAGCCCCCAGCAGAGCUACCUGCGGUGGGCUGAACAAUGGCCCCCUAAAGACGUCAUGGAAAUGUGAAUGUUACCUUAUGCGGCCAAAGGGACUUUGCAAAUGGGAUUAAUUUAGGGCGCCCGGGAUGGGGAGAGCAUCAUGGAGAUGGGGAAUUGUCCAUGUGGGCCCCUCGAACCACAUGGGUCCUUGUGAGACUGAGGCACGAGG